UACGGAGGGGGCUAGCGUUGUUCGGAAUUACUGGGCGUAAAGCGCGCGUAGGCGGACCUGCAAGUCGGGGGUGAAAGCCCGAGGCUCAACCUCGGAACUGCCCUCGAUACUGCGGGUCUCGAGUCCGGGAGAGGUGAGUGGAAUUCCUAGUGUAGAGGUGAAAUUCGUAGAUAUUAGGAAGAACACCAGUGGCGAAGGCGGCUCACUGGCCCGGUACUGACGCUGAGGCGCGAAAGCGUGGGGAGCAAACAGGG
rnacentral:rRNA from 1 species